UACGAAGGGGGCUAGCGUUGUUCGGAAUUACUGGGCGUAAAGGGCGCGUAGGCGGUGUGUCAAGUCAGGCGUGAAAGCCCCGGGCUCAACCUGGGAACCGCGCUUGAGACUGGCACGCUAGAGUUCGGGAGAGGAUGGUGGAAUUCCCAGUGUAGAGGUGAAAUUCGUAGAUAUUGGGAGGAACACCGAUGGCGAAGGCAGCCAUCUGGACCGACACUGACGCUGAGGCGCGGAAAGCGUGGGGAGCAAACAGG
rnacentral:rRNA from 1 species